UUCUGUGCCUAAAUAUAGAAAAAAAAUUUACAGCUUUUAAUAGAAUGAAUCAUUUUUAAAACAGAGGAAAAUGUACAUGUACGUGUGUGUGUGUGUCUUACACGUGAAUAUAUGCAUAACACGUCUUUGGUGUUUUCAAUAUCAGAUUGAAGAAGAAACCGAUCGAUUUAUGGGCCUCUUGAAACCUUCAUUUGGUCAAGUGUUGAAGUAGCCACAAGGGGUAGAAAUGGAAAUUGAAGGAGUCCAUCACAGCGGCCUUUGUAACCUCAUCGCCUUCAUCUUGGAUAUAUAUUAUAUAUAUUAUUUAAUGUUUUAAAAAACAAUAUUUUAAUUUUAUCUUUUUUUUUAAAGUGAACCUGUUUGAUUUCAGGAGGAGCAGGGAUUUCAGGGGCUAAUAAGUCUUCACGCUCUUCAGGAUCAUUACCAACUGCUUCAUCAUCAUCUGUGAAAAUUUCCUCAUGCUCCCACUCAUCACCUGAAAUCUCACAUAUAAUUACAAAUAAACAAAC
rnacentral:lncRNA from 1 species